GCUCUGGUAGCUUAGUAGUUUGAGCAUCUGCCUCGGAUGCAGGAGGUCAUAGGUGCAAACCCCACCCAAGUCA